GAUAAGUAAUGUGARUUGCAGAAUUCAGUGAAUCAUCGAAUCUUUGAACGCACCUUGCACCCCUUGGUAUUCCGAGGGGUACGCCUGUCUGAGUGUCGUGA
rnacentral:rRNA from 1 species